rnacentral:lncRNA from 1 species
GGACCAGAAUUGUAACCCUUUUUCUUGUUUAAACGUUGUUGAACUCUUGAAGUGUAUUUUUUAGGUUUUCCAGUAAGAUUUAAUUCUUUUAUUUCAGAAAUAUUAAUUUCUGUCAUUUUGACAAUAAGUGAUAAUAUAUCACAUUUAUCUGGGAGUCAAGUUCGUCUCUUUGCUGUACGAAAGUACUGAUCUGUUCACGGACUUGCUCCUGUGCCCUCAUGCAUCUGAAAAUCAAGUUCCUCAUCAAUAAGUGAUUCUAUCACAUAGGGCUUGUUUUCAUCAAAAUAAGUGAGUUUCUCACAUUUUCAUACGGUCAAACAGAUGAUAAAAGGUAUACUCACCAGUAAGUAAGAUGAACUCUCGUGCAUACCUUGAUACGGGAAUGUGUCGUGAUGUGGAUGAACACCGGUCGGAUGCUUAUCUAAAUGUUAACAAAAAGAACAACAAGAGCGUUUUGGCGUGACGGUACACUGAUAUGAUUCUCUUACCCUCGAAACUCGCCAAAAGAAUGUUUGUAUAUAUUUACUUUUCUUAGUUUCUGCAACUCUGUAUAUAUAUUUGUUUACUGCUUUCGGUCUUUAAGUUUGAAAUAUUCAAAAUACCAAAAAGAUUUUAGGUGUGUUUUAAUAUAA